GUUAAAUUUGCAAAAGAGGUUUGAUGGCUGUUCUGUUAUGACUGUGUGGUAGCUCAUUAAAGCUGGGUCUCAAGAAAAGGGUACAUGCUAACAUAUUAGUGCACAGAUACUAUGAUGAUGGACAGCACUAUAAAACCGUAAACUAGGUUAACAUGGUACAUCUGGAUAUAUAUUCAUGGGAGCAAACAGCAAGUAAAAUGGUUAAAAAGGAGCAAUUUUUGAGCUGACUACUUGUCAAUUGUCCACAUCUGAUGUUUUCCAGCACUUGACAAUUCAAGAUCAUGCCUUCUUCAGAAGGAUUUAUGAUACAGGCCUGGAUGAUUGCCCAGUCCACUCUCUGUGAUCCAAUACUCCUGGCACAUGCAGUAGUUAAAUGUACACAUUUCACCUAAAUUGCAAGGAGCUGGAUACUAUCAGUCUUUAUGCAUGGUAUGGGAUGGGCUCAGAGUGACCUUGGAUCUGGCUUCUGAAGAGGCGGGGAUUGGAACAUGGCCACAGGCCUGCAUAUCCCACUCUGCAACCCAGGGUGUCACCAGUUCAAAGGUAGCAAACGCUGCACUCUUGGAAAGGAAUGUUCCACAGCCUGA